rnacentral:rRNA from 1 species
AACGACUCUCGGCAACGGAUAUCUCGGCUCUCGCAUCGAUGAAGAACGCAGCGAAAUGCGAUACUUGGUGUGAAUUGCAGAAUCCCGUGAACCAUCGAGUCUUUGAACGCAAGUUGCGCCCCAAGCCUUCUGGCUGAGGGCACGUCUGCCUGGGUGUCACAAA